rnacentral:rRNA from 1 species
AACGAACGCUGGCGGCAGGCCUAACACAUGCAAGUCGAGCGAGGACUUCGGUCCUAGCGGCGGACGGGUGAGUAACGCGUGGGAACGUGCCCUUUGCUUUGGAAUAGCCCUGGGAAACUGGGAGUAAUACCGGAUGAGCCCUUUGGGGGAAAGAUUUAUCGGCGAAGGAUCGGCCCGCGUUGGAUUAGGUAGUUGGUGGGGUAAUGGCCUACCAAGCCGACGAUCCAUAGCUGGUUUGAGAGGAUGAUCAGCCACACUGGGACUGAGACACGGCCCAGACUCCUACGGGAGGCAGCAGUGGGGAAUCUUAGACAAUGGGGGAAACCCUGAUCUAGCCAUGCCGCGUGAGCGAUGAAGGCCUUAGGGUUGUAAAGCCCUUUCAGCUGGGAAGAUAAUGACGGUACCAGCAGAAGAAGCCCCGGCUAACUCCGUG